rnacentral:lncRNA from 1 species
GAGCUGGGAAACAGCGCGCGCAGCUCGUCCGUAGAUUGGAAUCGCCCUGAAGAUGUAGACCCUCGAGGGAUUUACGUCAUAUCUGCUCCUUCCAUCUACGCUCGGGAGGUAGCGACGCCCCUUUUCCCCCCGCUACACACUGGGCGCGCUGGGCAGAGGCAGCACCUGCUUUUUCCCUACCCUUCCUCGAUUCUGUCCGUGAAAUGAAUUGGGUAGAGUCUCUGGAAGGUUUUAAGCCCAUUUUCAGUUCUAACUUACUUUCAUUCUAUUUUGCAUCCCUCUUGUCGUUUUGAGCCACCUGCCAUCUUCUCUUUGAAAAAGCUAUGGGCUUGAGGAGGUCACGAUGCCGACUCCGCCAGAGCUUUUCCACUGAUUGUACUCAGCGGGGAGGCAGGGGAGGCAGAGGAGCAGCCUCUCUAAUGCUUCCUACUCAUUUUGUUUCUAGGCCUGACGCGUCUCCUCCAUCCGCACCUGGAGUCAGAGCGUGGAUUUUUGUAUUUGCUCGGUGGUGCCCAGUCUCUGCCCCCAGAGGCUUUGGAGUUCAAUCUUGAAGGGGUGUCUGGGAGAACUUUACUGUUGCAAGUUGUAAAUAAUGGUUAUUUAUAUCCUAUUUUUUCUCACCCCAUCUCUCUAGAAGCACCUAUAAAGGCUAUUAUUGUGAUCAGUUUUGACUAACGAGGCUGAAUGCUUUGUAUUUGAUGUUGGGGCUGAGGGGAAGAGAUUUUGUCUCCUGAGGAGAGUAGUAGACAGGACUCUUUAUGUUGUAGCGGUCGGAAACGACUCAAACUGCUUUAAAUAUAAAAGAAUUUAUGGCUGGGUGCAGUGGCUCACGG